rnacentral:lncRNA from 13 species
GAGAUAUUGCAGAUCGGGUUGGGAAAGGUCAAAAUAAUUAGUCAUAGGAGAUGAUACGAGGAAGAGAAGGAGGAGGAGGUGGGGGGAGUGGUGCAACAGAAACACUUCUAGUGUUGGAGCACAGGAAGCCAGCUCUGAAACAUUUGGACUUUCGUUGUCUGACAUUGCCUUUGCCACUCCUUCUUCCUUCCUCCCACCUUUGCCUUCCCCACCACCUCCUCGAAAUUCCCCUGCCUUCAUCUCUGGCCCUGCUGACGACUUCGCCAUGUGAGUUGUCAGUUUUUGCUACCAGUGAUUUCUUUUCUUCAAGCAAAAGAGAGAAGAGUUUAUUUUAUUCUCAGCAGCAUCCCUGGCCAGACUCGGCAAAGGUUUGUCUCCUCCUGACCCACAGCCAUGGGUUCUUUGUACAUCCCUGCCUCCUACAGUCAGAUGAAGCUGUAUCUCCAAUUCCAUCCAAUGGUCUGUGA